GAAACAACACAGAGUCCUCUGAAGUUUUCUUUGGCCGAACAAGAGACAGCCUCCUGUCCGAGUCUCAGGGGCCGAGCCCAGGGCUACCUCUCUCCCUCCCAACUUCCUACCCACCCACCGAACCCUCGCCCCCAGCAUCUCACCUGCUCGGGCGGCGGAAAGAAGGAAACCAACCCUCCCCUUGGCUCUCGUGUCGUUUCCCCCCACACAAACACACCUUCUGGGGGGAAAAAGGAGCGAGGCGCUCCGGUCCCUUCGCUACGAGCCCCUCAAGGGAGAAGAGAGGACCAGGGCAAGACCCGACCCGUUCCCUUCCCUUUCCUCAAUGUAAACAAGGCCCCGAGGGCGCCCCCCUUCUGUGCGCUCACCCAGCAAGCGGGUAGGACGGUGAGGAGGCCCCGGCCGCCUCGGCCUUGGGAGGCGCUUCCCACCCUGGUAGCGGCUGAGGUGGACGACGCGGACGGAAAGUGGGAGAAGGGAGAGGGGAAAAAAAUCACCUCUCCGCGGGCUGAUCCAUCUCUAGCCGGGCCACUGUGGCUUGCGCACCGGAAGCCCUGGCCCUCCACAGUGGCGUCACUUCCGCCAUCAGGAAAGGCCGCGGAGGGGGGGGGAGAGCGCCGAGCAAGUCCGAGCGGCGCUGACGUACGAGGAUCCCGUCCUCGAGGGAAGGCUUCGCGUGCCGGAGGGGCUCAUUUCCGGAAUGAGGGGGGCUUUUCAUGACAGCAUGGUGAAACUUCCAGGGACGGUGAAAAAGUGUGGGGCAGGAGUGAAGACUAGCAAAAGGCAAGAAUUGCCAUGGCAACAGUAGUAUGGAAGAAUGGCAGCCUCAAGAUGGGUGAUGGUGGGGCACUGCAGAGGAAUACCUGUGGGAGGGAUGGUUACAGCUGCUACCCAGAGCUUGGAAAAGCUGGUAGACUGGCCUAUAACUUCCAGAAUCCUCCAACCAGUAUAGCCAUUAAAGAUGUUCACUGCCCCUUCCCCGCAAUACCCAUCACCUCAGAUGACUAUGAAGUUAUGAAACUUCUGUACGUACAGUACUUUUAAUUAUACUGUAUAUGUAGAAGAAAAUCGGAUUCUUAGCAACCUGCAGCUUGCCAAAUUCCCUCUUUUGUCUAUUAAAAGAAACUGGAACCCUGCCUUCUUUUGCAUCUCCUGGGUAUAUUCCAAAGUCGUUUCUAUGUAUUGAUUUAAAACGUUUCUUUGUUGCUUUUCAGUUGUAAUAUAGACUAAAAAUGGCUUACAAAAAACCCUUCAUAAUUUGUAUGAAAGUUAUCUCAGUACUUGGAAAGAGACUAUCUUUUGACUGCAGAGUUUGAGAUGAAACAGUAUCUGAGCUGUUGGGAGGAAAAUUUCUUGGAAAUC
rnacentral:lncRNA from 1 species